GUCCACGCCGUAAACGAUGAUAACUAGUUGUUCGGGCACUUGGUGCCUGAGUGACGCAGCUAACGCAUUAAGUUAUCCGCCUGUGGAGUACGGUCGCAAGAUUAAAACUCAAAGGAAUUGACGGGGGCUGCACAAGCGGUGUAGCAUGUGGUUUAAUUCGAAGCAACGCGAAGAACCUUACCAGCCUUUGACAUCCCGCGCUACCUGGAGAGAUUCAGGGUUCCUUUCGGGGACGCGGUGACAGGUGCUGCAUGGCUGUCGU
rnacentral:rRNA from 1 species